rnacentral:rRNA from 1 species
UCGGAACGUGCCCAAUCGUGGGGGAUAACGUAGAGAAAUUUACGCUAAUACCGCAUACGAUCUAAGGAUGAAAGCGGGGGAUCGCAAGACCUCGCGCGAUUGGAGCGGCUGAUAUCAGAUUAGCUUGUUGGUGAGGUAAAAGCUCACCAAGGCGACGAUCUGUAGCUGGUUUGAGAGAACGACCAGCCACACUGGGACUGAGACACGGCCCAG